AAAAUAAAUAAAUAAAUAUUUUAAAAAUUCUCUCUUUUAAAAAAUAAAAAUAAAACUGCACUAGUUCCUGCUUCAUGACUUGAGUUAAUGAGAACUAAUACUCAUCAGCAGAAAGUAGACAUUUUCAGAAAUCCUUAUGUUUGGAUAAAUGGUAUAAACUGAACAUCCUGUUGGUUGAGUAGGAGAGCUAGGGUGGAUGAGAGACAAAAGCAAAGAGUUCCAUCUUUGACCAUGGAUUUGGGCCUACUAUGGUUUGCCAUAAUUUUAGUCAUUUUUGUAUCUGUGAAAAGGGCGGUAAUGAUAUCUUAGCUAUUUCCAUAAUCCUUUUUGGAUGAGUUAAUGAAUAAUUCAUUGUUAACCCUGUAGGGUUCUUGUGGAAGUCAAAUGAGAAAACAGAAGUUUUAUUGAGUGUUAGGAAGAUAUAAAGCAUUAUUGCCAUGUUUAGGAGCAAGAACCAUGUUUCAUUUAUCUACCUAAACAUCCUGAAGAGGUCUUGGAAAAUAAUAGUGCAUCAGUAAAUAUUUAUGGCAUGACUGAAGUCAGGGAGCUGGAGUCUUGAGUACAUGCAUGGAGGAGACGUCACUGGGAAGCUUACUGCUUACUUGAUGUGUUAUCAUUGUGAAAGCCUAAUCACAUGGUUGUUCAUCCUCAUUAAUAUGUAUAAAUCACAUGUUCACCUCUCAUUCUAAUGUAAUUCAACUGGGCCUUUUAAUAUUUCAGCCUCACCACUGUUGGACUCCAACCCCCACCUCACGUCUUCAACCAGAAGGGGAUCUUUUAAUCCUUCACUUCGUGGGGAGUCUUUGAGGGAGUAAUGCAGCUGCCCAGCAAGAACACUGCUGACCAGUACAGUGACUGACAGGCUGCCCUGGCUCAGUUAUCACAGUGCUGAUGCUGUCCAUUCUAAAGGUACAGUACUGUGAUAACUGAAGGAUGGCAGCCAUCUUGCCUUCCACCCGAGGAGCCUCCUCGUGCUCAGGAAGAAAGACAGAUGGUGAAAGAAGAGUGGGAUGCACCAUUCCUUCAUUUGUUUCUCCUGAGCUAUAGAGAAGGUUACCCCAUCUCUCUGCUUUGUUUCAUAAUACGAAAGGAAAACCACGAUGUGGUAGUUUGCAUGGCAGCACAGAUAUUGUGGUGCUGAGCAAAACGUGUAUAAGAUUUUUGGAACCUUUGAAUCUUCAGGAGAUUUUGAUAUUAGGAAAUACUAAAUAUGAAUUAUAUUUUCUCGAGUGGUAUUCAGAGAAAUUUGUGCCAUUUUAUAAUUGUGAAGGGUAACCUGAUUAGGAUAGGCUGACACUUGGCACUACACUAUUAAAUGUUCAAAAUGAAAUUUGUCCUAGGCAGAAGGAAAGCUCUACAUGUCGAACCGUAUUGAUAAUUACUGCAUGAGUAAAAUUCAUCGUUGUGUUUAAGGAAUGGAUGGCAGGCUGUCAUGUUCCUUUCAAGAUGUUUAGAAUCUCCUCUGAGAAAACAUUCAUUGAAUGACAAUAUUGCAAUAUUUUAUCAAAAAAUAUUGCAAUAUUUUUAGAUAAAAAUAAAAUAUAAAUUAUUUUAUUUCCAUCAGGUGAACAAGGACUACUCUACUGCAAUACCUGACACACAUUGAUUUCAGGGAUAUGAAACUAUACAUACCAAGUCAGUAUAUUUGUAGGAAGGCCUAGGAAAUUUAGCAAACCAGGCAUCUUUAACCUGCAUCCUAGUCUAGAGAAUACUUCUGGGGGUAGAGGGUGGGGUUGUUAGAAAAUCUCCAUUCUCACAUUCCUUCUGCCAGUGAUCCCUCUUUCUACAGACUCCUAAAAGCACUCUACAUAUGAAAUACCAAUGAAUGCAUAUCAAAGUACAUGACUUUAUGUUGGAUCACAGUCCACUGCAUGUAAUUUCAUGUAACAUAUUUUAGGCUCAAGCCUGAGCAGGAACCUAUUGCCUCUUCUAGGCUGGUGUCUAUCUAGUAGGAGUCUUAGCACCCUGUAGAUGGCUGGCUGAUCUGUGAAAGAACCUAGAGCACUGAGCUUGAGUACUGAGGCAGGGCCUGCUGAGGACAGGCCCUAUUUGAAACUACCUAUACCUGGGACGCAAGAGCAUACAUGUGACUGUAAUAUACAGUGGACCUUUACCCACUAGUUGAGACCACCUCUUCAGUGUCUCAGAUACUGGCAGUUUUAUUAUCAAGUCCUUCACUGGAAUGGUCUGAGGACGAAAGGGGAUCUGUAGGGAGCAAUCCCUGUUGUCCAUUGUUCUAGUCUUCACCAUCCUGGUCACUGUUCCUCUUUAGGUUCACAGUUCUCUAACCUCUCUCCUUUCUACUCAAAUAGCAGCCUUUCCUGGUGGUGACCCCUUGAGCCAUAACUGCUUGGCUCUGAACUGUUGUACAAACACUCUGAGCACAUUGGAGCAUCCAGUACCUUCACAUAACCUCUCAAAACUUUUUUUUUUUUGGUAGCAGGGCUUUAACCAAGGGGUUCCUAACCACUGAGCCCAUCUCCAGCCCUUUAUAUUUCAAGUUGGGGCCUUGCUAAGUUGCUGAAGCUGGACUUGAACUUGUGAUCCUCAUGCUUCUGCUUCUGAGUCACUAGGAUUAUAGGCAUGCAUCACCAUGCCCACUUCAAAACUUCUUUAAGCCAUAAACUCAGCUAUGUUUUUAUUAAUAGAGGGGUGUAGCACCCACCUGUAAUCCCAAGUACUUGGGAGGCUGAGACAAGAGAGGAUCACAAGUUCUAGGCCAGCCUGGGUGACUUAGGGAAACCCUAUCUUUAAUUAAAAAAAAAAAAGUGGGGGAUGUAGCUUGCCUAGUGUGCACAAGGCCUGGGUAUUCAAUUCCCAUUACCCCCCUCAACACACACACACACACACACGGUUCUGCCCAGUUGUGUAUUACACUGCUGCUCCUAAAAUUCCUUAAGAGUUUUCUCUCUCAAACAGAGAAGGAAUUUAUGACAGAAGGUCUGGAAGAACUCCUAGGAAGAGAAUUCGGGGACUGGUGAAUUCUCAAGUAAUUUAAAACUCUCCUGAUUUUUAGUGUUUUAGCAGGUGGAAAAAGUGCUUCAGGGACUAAUGUGUUGUGCAGUUGUUGGCCUUAGUGGGAAUUUCACCACCUUCCCUGGUCUUCCUGUUUUCUCUGUGACUAGUUUUAUAAAAAUUCGUCUGAUUUUAUACUUGCUUAACCUUGACCUCAGCAUCCACACCCACAUCUUUUGGAAGUUGCAGAGCUGAGUGUGGAUGUAGUUUGGAAUUGCUGCUAUACUUCUACAAACGGAGCUGUGCCGGCUUCCAUUUCUGGUCCACAAGCUUGCCUAGGCCUAGAGGUCUUCCACAUCUCUAAGGCAGUUGGUAGGUGUUAAGAUGUCAGGUUUUUAUCAUGCUGAGUGAGAAGUGCUGCAAGAGAAAGCAGAUAGGGUUAUUUCACUGCCUUUUUGGUUUCGUGUUUGAUUGAUGUAUUGUGUUCUAGUCUAGGCACAUUGAGAUUGGGAAGAGUGGAUGUUAACACCAUGAUACCCCCAAAAAGGGAAGAGGUACUAUAUAAUGGGUAUGUUUACACACACAUUCAUAGCAGCAUUAUUCACAGUAGUCAAAAAAUAGCAAUCCAGGUGUCCCUUGAUUGAAUGGAUAAAUAAAAUGGGUGCACACAUACAUUGGAAUAUCAUCCAGCCUUAAAAAGGAAGAAAGUUCUGAUACACACAACAACAUAGAUGAACCACGAAGAUAUUAAGUAAAAUGAGCCAGACAAAAGGACAAAUACCAUAUGACUCUACUCAGAAGAGGUUCCUAGGAUAUUCAUAUUCAUAGGGCCAGAAAAUAGAAUGACUGUUGCCAGGGACAGGAGGGAGAAGAGGACUGAGAGUUAGUGCUUAAUGAAUACAGAGAUUUAUUUGGGAUGAAUGUUGAAAAAUUUCUGGAGAUGGAUGUUGAUGGUUAUAUAACAAUAUGAAUGUGCUUAAUGCCUCAGAAUCGUUCACGUAAAAAACAGAUUUAAUGUUAUAUAUAUUAUUUAAUAUUAUGUAUUUUUACAAUAAAAAUUUAAUAACACUUUUGGGUCCAACAAAA
rnacentral:lncRNA from 1 species